UGCACCUGUAGCUCAGUUGGAUAGAGCAUACGCCUUCUAAGCGUACGGUCAGGGGUUCGAAUCCCUUCAGGUGCGCCAU
rnacentral:tRNA from 10 species